rnacentral:tRNA from 1 species
CGUGGCGGUGGUCGGCGGCGGCAACACCGGCGUGCAGAUCGCCGGCGAACUCGCCGACCACGGCCGCCGGGUCGCGCUGUCGGCCGCCGCGC